GAAGCAAGCCAGACCGCCGCUGGCGCAAGAGCCGAAAGGCUGCGCUGGAGGAAGGUCCGGACUGCACAGGGCAGCGUAGCAGGUAACACCUGUCCGCCGUGAGGCGAGGAUCAGAGCAACAGAGACGAGUCGGUCCUGGGGGCAACUCCAGAGGCCGGGUGAAACGGGCAAUCUCUACGCGCAGCAACACCAAAUAGGCACACGUCGAUCCGGCCCGGGGAGUGUGCGGGUAGGUGGCAUCGAGCCGCAUCCGCGAGGGGCGGCCCAGAGGAAUGGCGGUCACGUCGGGGCGACCCGAUGCACAGAAUCCGGCCUAUCGGUUUGCUUCACUC
rnacentral:RNase_P_RNA from 2 species